UUCGAACAAAAAAAAAACAUUAUCUUACUAUAAGAUUAUUCUACCAACAGAGAGAUAAAAUACAAAUAAAUUACACCUUUCAUAUAUUUUUCAUUAACAAAAAAAUAAAAAUAAACAAAGGCUAACUAAGCAUAUUGUAGACCCCCCGGAGGCAGAGUUUUUUUUCUUGGGAUUUAUUUUAGGUCUUUUCUUUUUCCUACCUUUUUCUGAGGAGCCGCUCGACAUGAUGGUCAGGAGCUGGUUUUUGGGGUAGAGAGGGGACUCAAGUGGGCGGCUCUCGGGGGGCAGAUUGGACGGGAUACGGCUGGCUUGCUGAGGAAGACACGAACAGAAGAAAAACAGAUGAAAAAAAGUAGAAAAAUAGAGAUCAAGAGGUACGGGGAUGCAGCAGACUGGGGGAGAGGCUUUUCUUCAGCCAGACAUCGAGAUCAGUGGGGGGGCCGGAGGAGGAGACGAGAGGAGCUUUCUUUGGGUAGGGGGAUGGAGAGAUAUUUUCUGGGAUAUUCACCGAGGGGCUCUGGAUCUUGCUGGUAGAGUAGACAGAGGUUGGCGGUAAUCUAAGUGAGCUUCAUUGAAGAGGAGAUUCGCAGGUAUGGAGUAUCGUUUUUUUUUAAGGUCUUCCUCAUUGUCACUGUUCUUCAUCAUAUUCUCUGGCUACUUAGGCAUUGUUAGUUUUCUUGGUUGUGGAUUGAGAUUUGCUGAAUUUGGGUUCGUUUUUGUAAUUGCUCUGUUUUGGUUCUUUUUUGCAUUCUUUGUUUUCUCCUGUCAAUAACUGAUGUAUGGGUUGUUUUUGAGAUUGAUGUUUGAUUAAUCAUGCCCCGACUCCUAGCUUGUCUCACCUUUUUAGACCCAUUGAGUGUAUCAUGAGAUGGAGUCUUGAUCAAUGAACUCUGGGCGUGCCCUGUUUCUUGAGUCUUUCUUUUCUUUUCUUUUUGCCUUUGAAAAAUACCGACCAUUAUUUUGUAAACUACCCGAAAGCUCUUGGGAUGAGGGUAGAAAAUGUUUCUAACUUCAAGUGGUUUCUGGAUUCGACGGACCGGGGAAGUCGAAGGUUCAAGUUAUUGGUCUGGUUUUAGCUGCUGUCGAAAUGGGUGGAGGAACUGGCAGUAGUGAGGCUCCCAUGAUUGCUGGGAGAGGGAGGUUGGGUGCUGAUCAGCCUAUGAUUCUGCACAUGCUGGAUAUCCCUCCUGCUGCAGACGUCUUAAAUGGGGUCAGAAUGGUGGAAUUGAUGGAUGCUGAUUUUCUACUUUCUUAAGGGUGUUGUUGCUAUAGCCGAUGUUGUUGAGGCAUGCACUGUGGACAAUGUUGCUGUCUUGGUUGUUGGCUGGUUGUUGCUAACCCGGCAAACACAAAUUGCCUUAAUCCUGAAGGAAUUUGCACCAUCAAUUCCUGAGAAAAGCAUUAGUUUGAAAGUCUGAACAUUGAGGUGCCCAAGCAUGGAGGAGGAUGUGGAGGGAAUUUAUUAAAAAGAGUCAAUGGCCACGUGCAAGCCAAGGGAAUGUCCUUAGGGUAGCAAUAAAAAAAAACAACCCAGGCCACUUGAUGGUCCAAGUGUUAGCUUAUGAGACAUGAGUUUUAUUUAUUUCUUUAUUAUUGUAUGUGUUUCUAGUUUACCGUGUACCCAUUUAAAUAAUUCCCCCAAGUUCCGGAUUUCAAAUUCUAAUCCCCAAUUCUAAUUUUUCACACUUGUUUAUUUAGUCAUUAUUAUUAUUAUUAUUAUUAUUAUUAUUAUUAUUCUAUAUUUAUUUAAUUAUUUCAUUUAAAAAUUCUAAUCAUUAAAAUUCAGUUAUUCAAAAAUUUGACUUCCCAAUUUAAUGUUCAAUCUCAAAAAUUCCAUAAUUCAUUUUUACUCGUUUAAAUAUUGUUUUAGUUAAUUAGUAUUAUUAACCCAUAUUUAUUUAUUAUUUUGAGCAUUAAAGUCCAAUUCUUCAAAAUCUAACGUCCUAAUUUAACUUUUAAUCCCAAAAAUUUCACUAUUCAUUUUUACUCGUUUAAAUACUAUUUUCGUUAAUUAGUAUUAUUACUCCAUAUUUAUUUAUUAUUUUUAUCAUUAAAAUCCAAUUCUUCAAAAAUCCAGUGUCCUAAUUUAAAUUUCACUAUUCAUUUUGUUCGUUUAAAUAUUAUUUCCGUUAAUUAGCAUUAUUAUUCCAUUAAUUUAUUUUACAAAUUCCAAUAAUUAAAGUUCAAUUUUUCAAAAUUCCGUUUUCCGAAUUUAAUUUUCAAUAAAAAAUUCCGCUAUUCACGUUCAUUCGCUUAACCAUUAUUUUUGUUAUUAUUAUUAUUAUUAUUCCAUAUUUAUUUAUUUAUUUCUUUUAAAGUUCAAAUCAUUAAAAUUCAAUUCUUGAAAAAUCUGACUUCCGAAUUUAAGUUUCAAUCUCAAAGAUUCCACUAUUCACGUUCAUUCGUUUAAAUAUUAUUCUCAUUAUUAUUAUUAUCAUUUCAUUAAUUUAUUUUACAAAUUCCAAUAAUUAAAGUUCUAUUUUUCAAAAUUCCGUUUUCCAAUUUUAAUUUUCAAUCUCAAAAAUUUCACUAUUCACAUUCAGCUGUUUAAUGAUUAUUUUCGUUAUUAUUAUUAUCCCGCUCAUUUAUUUAUUCACUUAUUCAUACAUUUAAAACCUCAUCUCCAAAUAAUUUCCCAAAAUUUAAAUCUCUAAAUUCAAUCUCCAAUCUCUAAAAUUCUAUUUUUUUGCAAUUAUUUACUUAAUAUUUAUUAUUUAAUCAUUAUUAUUAUUCCAUUUAUUUAUUUAUUCACUUAUUUAUUUAUUAAAAUUCCGUCUUUAAAUAAUUCUUCAAAAUUCUAAUUCCCAAAUUUAGUUUUCUGAAAUUCCAAAAUCUUUCAAAUUUAAUUUUUAAAAUUCUCAUUCUUAUACUUAAUUUCUAAAAAUCCAAUUUUCAAAUAAUCUCUAAGACUCCGAUUUUCAAAAAGCUAGUUUUCCUUCGAACAAUCUUAAUUUAUGUUUGGUAAUGCAUGUGAUAUAUUUCGUGUUCUAUAUUGUGCACUGACUCUGUUUCCACGAUAGCGCGUUGCUGUUUGCUGCCCAGGUAAGCAUUCACUCAUUUUGAUCAUUCAUAAUACACAUUCUGAUUCCCAUAUACGCAUGAUUGAUGUGAGUAUCCAUAGACUUUCUUAUUGACUGCCACGUCAGCUUCAUUCUAUUAGUAGAGACCCGACUUUAGGGACUUAGAGGGGUGCUACGGUCUUUACCGUACCUUCCCGAUAAGUAACCUGACCCCCGAACCCGAUCUGGUUUUUCAUAGACCACCUUUUCCAAAAUAAGGAGUCACACUUAGGGUUUUUCUUUCUUAUUUUGUUUACCCUUUAAAAAUAAAACAAAAAUAAGUGGCGACUCCAAGUCAUUUUUCUUAAUCAAUAAAAAUCAAUUUUUCAAAUAAAAAAUCGAGUUUCGCCAUCGAGUGGGAAACGCAUUCGAGCGAUCGAAAUGCGGGGUCCACAAAAUGGCGACUCCGCUGGGGACAUUUUUUUAGAGGGACAAGCUUGAACUUAGAGUGAAGCAAACGUGGCAUUUGAUUGGGCGAUUAGUGGAUGCUCAUCUCUUGAUUGUACAUUGAGGAUUUCUUGAUGCAUGCUUAGAUGUCGUAUUCAUUCGAGAUUUUGGCAUGUUGGAUUAUUGAUGAUUGAUCUUAUUGCAUUGAUUAGCACAUUGAUUCUGAUUUUGCCAUGCUUGUUCUGAUCACUUCACAUGCAUACACUCACCACUGUAUAUCACUCGACUUGACAUGUUAAUUCUCUGACUUGUAAUACUGUUUUGACCGUCCUUGAGCAUGAUGUUUAUAUCACUAUUCGUCUUGAUUGUCGUAUUCUCGCUUAUCUUGUGUGUACAUGAGUGAUAUAUCCUGCUCUGCCUGACUGUAUGAUGCAUGACUGCCCUCCCUCUGCACGAUUGCAUGCCGCUUGUCUAUGUGGGUCUCACUUCUAUCCCCUUACUUCCAAAUCUCUUGGUCUCGGUCAUUCUUUUCAUCUCGGUUCUCACUAUUGCAAGUGUGAAACCUUCUAUAUACUUGCUCUCUGACCGAGCCCGAGAUUAGGAGUAGGGUCUAGCGACGGGCUAUAUCGAUACACGGGAGCAUUCUGGAGGAGAGCGACACUUUGAUGUCGAUUGGAGUCCGAUCAUUGAAGACCUGUAUAGCCCCGAGCUAGGUUUCAUGGAUAGUUGUGCGACCAGUGUGUUCCCUCUUCUGCUCUAGAUUCUUAGGGUUUUCGGAUGCACCCACACCUUUAACUGUGCACUUUAGUUGACCAUUGAGCGUCAAGAGUUUGAGAGGUUUCACCAUAGGAAACCCCCUGGGAUGUCGAGGUAGUGCAUGUGUGGAGGUGAUGACCACCUUGCAUGGAAGCACCCCGUCUCUUUUUGAGGCGUGAAGAUGGUUGCGUACCGCCGGAGGGUACGAUCGCUUCUGCUAGGGAUCUUUUAAAUUCCACCCAUAUCCAUUUAGAGCCACCUUCACCUUGUAGGUUGAGUCGUAGAUCCUUCAAUUAGGACUCCCUCCCUACACGUGGGUGCAUCCGUGGGCCUUCAGAGCCAGUUCAGUAGUAACAGGUUUGGUUACCUUCGCAGUAGUCUCUUAUAUAUCUGCUCAGGGUUGGAUAUCGGUUUGUUCGCUUCCAGGCUACCUUUUGACACAUUUGGUAGACAUUCUUUGUGAAGUUUCCCUUACCCCGCACCUUAUCUAGUAUUUUUACUAUUGUAGGAGUACCGACACGUUCAGUCUGGGUUUGACUUCUUGGAUCAGAGUUGGGGGUAGAUUGAUCAGGGUAUCGGACCAGUUAGGCCAGAGAUCAGAUCAGAGGGAUAUGGAUUCACAGAUAGUUACCGUCGAUCAGUUCGCUGAGGCCAUGGCUUCGAUUCAGGAGGCUAUAGCUAGCCUUGGCCGGAGGAUAGAUGGGCAGCAGGCCCAGCAGGUCCCGCCCCCGGUUGGUGCCCAGUAUGACCCUACAGUGCCACCACCUCCUCCACCCAGUCAGUCAGCGCCACAGGCCAUGCCGUUCACUCUGCAUAGUCAGACCGGGGUUGCCCCGCCUCCCAUCACCGUGCCCACCCCGACCUCAGAGGACCCACAUGCUCGCAUGGAUAGACUUGAGCAGGGUUUGAGACAGUUGAGGGCUUCAGACAGAGCCACUACUUGGGAGGGUUUUGAUGGAGUGCCGGUAGCUAGCUUGCCGGCUAAGUUCAGGAUGCCUGACAUUGAGAGGUAUACUGGCAUUGGUUGUCCACGCCUCCAUCUUCGAUUAUACAGCACCGUGAUGAGGGCUCAUGGACUGGACGAGCCUCAGAUGAUUACUCUUUUCCCACUAUCUUUGAGUCGAGCGGCCCAGCGUUGGUUUGCAUCUCUGGAGGCCUCGAGGCGCCGCACAUGGGACGACUUGGCCCAGGAGUUCCUACGACAGUUUUCGUUUAACACUGUCGUAGAUGUAUCGAGGAGGGAGCUCGAGGCUUUGAGAUAGAGGACGGAGGAGUCUGUUUCUUCUUUCAUUUCUCGCUGGCGUGGGAAGAUAGCUGAGAUUAUCGAUAGACCAUCAGAGAAGGACCAGAUUCAGAUGGUUUUGAGGAGCCUGCAGCCGCGGAUCGCCAGACAUGUGGUAGGGGCCCCGUUCACAGAUUUUGGGUCUCUAGUUAUGGCUCUGUAUGAUGUCGAGGACGGUAUCUCGAGAGGUUUAUGGACAGAUUCUUCCCCUAGUGAUGUUAAGGGGAAGAAACCAUUCGUAGGACAGAGGUCGACAGAUGUUAGUGCUAUCAGUUCAUCCAGUCAGAGGCCUCCUAGACGCUACCAGCCGAUCCCACAGUUUCCCGAGCCUCAUUCGUCCUAUGCCUCUCAUCAGUACAGGCCACGGGCACCUCGACCAGCUUAUGAUCAGGCAUAUACUCCGCAGACUUUGGCUUUGCCUUAUUAUGCCCCCCAAGGCAUUGAGAGACCCCCGGUUUCCUACACGGCCACAGGACAGCCAUGCUAUGCUGCUCAGUUCACUGCGAGACCCGCAGCGCCUUAUCCCCGACCCAGAGCUCAGCAGACUUCUGCUCCCUUUGCUUUGAGGACGCAGAGGCAGUUCUCAUAGAUAGGCAUGCCGUUGAGCCAGGCUCUUCGGAAGCUUACAGAGGCUGGGUUAUUGACUACUCUCACCCCUCGGCCGCCGCCUCAGCCGAUUCCACCUCAGUUCAGGAUGGAUCUACACUGUGCAUACCAUCAGGGGCCUGGGCAUGAGACCGAUCGAUGCACCGCUUUGAGACAUGCCGUUCAGGAUUUGAUCGACCAGGGUUUGGUACACUUAGGUCAGCCGAGUGUGACCACGAACCCGUUGCCUGCUCACACCACACAUGCAGUCCCUCCACCAGCCGAUGACAUUCAUUUCUUAGAGUUUGAUGAGAUCGAUGAUCACAUCCACAUGCUGAGUGAUGAUGAUUCAGACCCAGAGCCCAUCAUGCUAGAUGUGAUUUAUGAGACGAGUGGGGUGACUCUGGGUCCUCGGACGCCUGCUCCCUUCCGAUUAGUUCCCGAGGCGGCGUCCGUGCAGGCUGCCACAGUUGAGCCAUUGAUUUUGCCGCAUUACAGUGUCCAGACGCCUUUCAUCUUGAUCCCGGAUGUUGAGGGGGUUCAGGCUCCGUACGUUGAUGAUUCUCAGACUCUGGACAUUCAGUACGUUCUCCGAGGAGGUAGAGUGAUGAGACAGCCACCUCCAGCUGCUGCCGCUAGACCCUUAGGGGGUACGUCAUCCCAAGAGGAGGUCAGAGUAGAGGAUGACGAGAUUUUGAGGCAGUUGCAGAGCACUCAGGCUCGUAUUUCUAUCUGGAGCCUUUUAGCGUCCUCCAGUACUCAUCGGGAUGCACUGACUCGAGCUCUGAGCCAGAUCAGAGUUGAUACCACGACCACUCCUGAGGGACUCAUUCAUAUGAUGACGGCUGGCAGAGCCACUUGUAUCGUCUUUUCCGAUGACGACUUGCCACCAAAGAGAUCUGGCCACACGCGUCCUCUCUAUAUAUCUGUUGGCUGUUCAGGUCGCCGAGUUCCAUCUGUCCUUCUGGACAAUGGCUCGGCCCUGAACGUAUGUCCUCUGGCCACCGCCAUCGCUCUUGGGUACGCACCAUCCGACUUCGGUCCAUCCACUCAGACCGUUCGAGCUUAUGACAGUACCCGUAGAGAGGUCAUGGGUACAUUGGAGAUUGAGCUCCUGAUAGGUCCGACCACAUUUAUCACUAUCUUUCAGGUUUUGAGGAUUCCUACAUCCUUUAACCUGCUUUUGGGCCGACCGUGGAUUCAUCGAGCUGGAGCCAUUCCUUCUUCACUUCAUCAGAAAGUGAAGUUCAUCCAUGAGGGCCAGGUAGUCGUCGUACAGUCGGCAGGGGACAUGUUCAUUUCCGCUGAGCCCGUGCUCCAGAUCAGCCACAGUGACGAUGAUUUACUACUGACCGGGUUCACUUUUGAUGAGGUACAGACUCUUGAGCUGGGAGACUUUUGCCGAGACUUCAUCGCUAUGUCCUUUGACCAGCAUGGGAGCAUAGUGGUGCUUGAUAUCAUGAGAGGCAUGUCCUAUCUACCCGGCAUGGGGUUGGGUCGACGUCAGCAUGGACCGAGCGAGUUCAUCACCAUCCCUGAUCAUGACGUACCAUUUGGGCUUGGGUUCAUCCCCACCGAGGCUGACUAUCGAUACAUGGCGCGUUUGCGCAAGGAGAGAGCGAGGGCUCGGCUGACCCACACGCCUUUCGACUAUCCUCUUCGCCCAUACACCAGGAGCUUAUCUGAUUACUUUGUGAGGGCAUCGGAGUCACAUGCACCAUCUGAUGGGAUCAUCGGAGGACUCAGCACCACCCAGGAGGCCGAGCUUCAGCGCCUCGUCCAGCAGUUACAGUUGAGUGACGGAGCCCCUGGCCCUUCGGCUUCUGUGUUGAUUGCUCCUCUUUCCCCAGAUCGCACGAGCCUUAUGACGCUUUGCUUCCCGGAUGAGAUCGAUGAUCACGGGACUUUUGCCGAGAUUGGAGACGUAGCGGAUGGAGCCGUGCCGCGUGACGAGUACGUUGAUGAGAUGCUCGCGAUGAGUUUGAGCCAGACCGAGGAGAUGGCCCCGCCGGAGCUCGCUUCACCUUUUGAUCUCUUUGGGGUGUCCGUCCUCGAGAUCGCCGAGGAGAUCCAGGUUGCCCCCACUCCAGAGGCCGUCGAGGAUGUUAUAGUUGCUGUUGAUUUGUUUGAUGGCCCUGUUGGCCUAGUUGAGGGAGCGUCCGACCUUGUGGACCCACCUCUCACCUUUGAUGUUUUAUCGGGAUUUGUCUCCCGUCAUGACUAUGUUUCUGACUUUUCAUCUAUGGAUUUGAGCACCUUUGAGUAUUUGCCUGUCUCUCAUGUUAUUGAUUUAUCUGCACCAUCUUCACCCACAUCACAGAUUUUUGAUAUUGAUGAUGAGAUUGCGCAGCACGACUCAGACGAUGACUCGUCUUCUACUUCCGAUUCAGACCCCGUUGAUCAGAGAGUUUCACCUGCUGUAGGGGACACCGAGAUUGUUGACUUUGGCACGGCAGAUCAGCCUAGGGAGUUGAGGAUCGGAUCGGAUUUGUCUACAGAUGAGAGAGAUAGCCUCAUCCAGCUACUCAGAUCCUACUUGGACGUUUUCGCGUGGUCCUAUGAGGACAUGCCAGGCCUUGAUCCCUCUAUCGUCCAGCAUCGUUUGCCACUUCUGCCCCAGGCCAGACCGGUUAAGCAGAAGUUGAGACGAUUGCACCCUCGUUGGAGCUUACAGGUGAAAGAGGAGAUCCAGAAGCAGCUCAGUGUAGGAUUCUUAUCAGUGGUUGAGUACCCGGAGUGGCUGGCCAAUGUCGUCCCUGUUCCCAAGAAGGACGGCAAGGUGAGAGUCUGUGUUGAUUUCCGAGAUCUCAACAAGGCCAGUCCUAAGGAUGAUUUUCCUCUUCCACACAUCGACAUGCUAGUUGACAGUACGGCAGGUCAUUCGAUGUUGUCCUUUAUGGACGGAUUUUCCGGGUACAGUCAGAUCUUGAUGGCUCCAGAGGACAUGGAGAACACGUCCUUCAUUACCGAGUGGGGCACUUAUUGCUAUAGAGUCAUGCCAUUCGGAUUGAAGAACGCAGGAGCCACAUAUCAGAGAGUAGCGACCACACUCUUCCAUGACAUGAUGCAUCGGGAUGUCGAGGUUUACGUAGACGACAUGAUAGUGAAAUCCCGAGAUAGAUCAGAUCAUUUGGCAGCUCUUGAGAGGUUCUUUGAGAGGAUCAGACAGUUCAGAUUGAGACUGAAUCCCAAGAAGUGCACUUUCGGAGUGACUUCCGGGAAACUCUUGGGAUACAUGGUCAGUGAGCGAGGCAUAGAGGUAGAUCCGGACAAGAUUAGAGUCAUUCUUGACAUGCCUGCGCCGAGGACAGAGAGAGAGGUCAGAGGCUUCCUGGGCAGACUUCAGUAUAUCAGUAGAUUCAUAGCCAGAUUGACAGACAUCUGCGAGCCCAUAUUUCGACUCUUGAAGAAGAGUCAACCUACUGUUUGGGAUGACCAGUGCCAGCGUGCCUUCGAGAGGAUCAGAGAGUACUUGUUAUCACCUCUUGUUUUGGCGCCUCCUACACCAGGCCGUCCUCUACUCUUAUACUUGUCCGUAUCAGACGUGGCCUUGGGUUGCAUGUUAGCUCAGCUCGAUGAUUCGGGCAAGGAUCGAGCCAUUUACUAUUUGAGUAAGAGGAUGUUAGACUACGAGACGAGGUAUGUCAUGAUUGAGCGUUAUCGUUUGGCAUUGGUUUGGGCCACUCGCCGGUUGAGACAUUACAUGACCGAGUAUUCCGUGCAUUUGAUAUCUCGCUUGGAUCCUUUGAGAUAUUUGUUUGACAGACCCGCUCUGGUUGGUCGCCUUAUGAGAUGACUGGUACUUCUUACUGAGUUUGACAUCCAUUAUGUCACUCAGAAGUCCAUCAGAGGGAGCAUUGUAGCAGAUCAUCUAGCCUCAUUACCAGUUUCUGAUGCCAGAGCUAUUGACGAUGAUUUUCCAGACGAGGAUGUCGCUGCUGUGACUAGUCUGUCAGGUUGGCGCAUGUACUUUGAUGGCGCGGCCAACCAUUCCGGAUAUGGGAUAGGCGUCUUGUUGAUAUCCCCUCACGGUGAUCACAUUCCCAGAUCAGUUCGUUUGGCAUUCUCGGAUCGACACCCUGCCACGAACAACAUUGUUGAGUAUGAGGCUUGUAUCUUGGGAUUAGAGACGGCCCUUGAGCUCCGGAUUAGACAGAUGGAGGUGUUUGGUGACUCCAAUCUGGUAUUGAGACAGAUUCAGGGCGAGUGGAAGACUAGAGAUGUGAAGCUUAAGCCUUAUCAUGCAUAUUUGGAGCUACUGGUUGGGAGAUUUGAUGAUUUGAGAUAUACCCAUCUGCCUAGAGCGCAGAACCAGUUUGCUGAUGCUUUAGCUACUCUAGCUUCCAUGAUCGAUAUUCCCGUUGACGCCACUGUUCGACCUUUGUUGAUCGAGUCGAGAUCUGCUCCUGCUUACUGUUGCCUGAUCGAUGAUGUAGAGCCAGAUGAUGGUUUGCCAUGGUAUCACGACAUAUAUCACUUUUUGAGACUCGGCAUAUAUCCUGAGGCCGCCACGGCCAAGGAUAAGAGAGCAUUGAGACAGUUGGCCACUCGUUUCGUGAUUUGUGGCGAGACACUAUAUAGGCGAUCACCUGACGGGAUGCUAUUAUUGUGUUUGGACCGCGCCUCUGCCGAUCGGGUGAUGAGAGAGGUUCAUGCGGGAGUCUGCGGACCACAUAUGGGAGGACAUAUGUUGGCUCGUAAGAUCAUGAGGACAGGAUACUUCUGGUUGACCAUGGAGACAGAUUGCUGCCAGUUUGUUCAGAGGUGUCCCGAGUGUCAGAUACACGGAGAUCUCAUUCACGUGCCGCCCUCCGAGCUGCACGCACUGACUUCACCAUGGCCAUUUUCCGUCUGGGGUAUUGAUAUCAUCGGGAAGAUUUCACCAAAAUCUUCCAGUGGUCAUGAGUUCAUCCUGGUCGCCAUCGAUUACUUCACCAAGUGGGUGGAGGCCGCUUCGUAUGCGAGGUUGACAUCGUCUGGAGUUGCUAGUUUCAUCAGAUCACACAUUAUCUGUCGCUAUGGAGUCCCUCAUGAGUUGAUUUCAGACAGAGGAGUACAUUUCAGAGCAGAGGUUGACACCUUAGUACAGAGAUACAGCAUCCGGCAUCAUAGAUCGUCUGCGUACAGGCCGCAGACGAAUGGGGCAGUAGAGGCCGCAAAUAAGAAUAUCAAGAGGAUAUUACGGAGGAUGGUCGAGACUUCUCGGGAUUGGUCAGAGAAGCUCCCAUUUGCAUUGUGGGCUUAUCGGACUUCUUUUCGCACCUCUACAGGCGCCACACCCUACUCCUUGGUAUAUGGCAUGGAGGCGAUGCUACCCGUUGAGAUUGAGAUGGGUUCGUUGAGAGUAGCAUUGGAGCAGCAGAUUCCCGAGGCAGAUUGGGCUCAGGCUCGAUUUGAUCAGCUCAAUCUCCUAGAUGAGAGGAGAUUGAGAGCAGCAGACCAUGUUCGUGCGUAUCAGAGGAAGAUGGCCCGCGCUUUCAAAAAGCGGGUCAAGCCCAGACCAUUACAGAUAGGUGACUUAGUUCUGAAAGUCAUCAGGGGAUUGAUCAAAGAUCCUAGAGGGAAGUUCAGACCCAACUGGAGCGGACCUUAUUUCAUCAGGGAGUUGACCCCAGAGGGCGCUGCAUGGUUGAUGGAUUUAGAUGGAAACCGAUUCUCAGAGCCAACCAAUGUGGAUCAGCUAAAGAGGUACUAUGUUUGAGACCAUGGUCGCAGGAUGGGUGGCCAUCAUUUCGGUUAGCCAUUUACCUUGUUACUCCCUUUUGAUACAUAGUUCGUUGCUAGCCCAUUGAGCCUCGCAUGCGCAUUAUAGCCUUUCUUUCUUAUCGCCUUGCUCACAUUUUCACACCGGGAUAGGGGCCCUUUAAUGUAUGCAUGCAUUGUUUGGUAGUUUCAUGAGCUUUGGACCUAGAGGCAUGUUUUUUCUCAUUGUCUUUUCCUAUCACUACACCUUUGCAUUUUCAUCUCAUCUUAUUGGUUAUGUUAUUCAUCUCUUCUUCCUUAUCCUAUCUACUAUCUGUUUGUUUCAUAUUUCGCUUCACCCUGGGGGGUGAUCCUCCUCAGUUCAUCACAUGGAGGGUAGUCACAUCAUUUCCGCCAUCUAUCUCGCGGACACUGAUUUAGAGAUCCUUGGUUUGAGAAGGUCAUCUUGUCAGAGAGAGUUUGUUUGUUACCUUAGCACUUGGGGGUGUGUCCAUUUGUUAUCGAUAUCAUCUUUGGGGUUCAUUUGUUCAUGUUCAGGGUACGCGUAUUUGUAUAUAUGUAAAAAAAAAAAAAAAAAAAAAAAGAAAAAAAAAGAAAAAGAAAAUUAUUAUUAUUAUUAUUAGCACAUGUGUGUAUGUGCAUAGUGUUCUCGAUCAUUGGGUAUGUAUAUUGAUGUUUGGGGGUCAUUUUUAUCGAGUAUGUUCGUUAUUGGGAGUUCGUAUGUGAGCUCUCUGAGAUCCCAUGUUAUUUGUAUUACUUCGUCAUAUCUAUUUGUGAGAGAGAUGAGUGACCUUCUCCUAAGGACUCCGAGUCAUUGUCCUUCCCAUCAUUACAUUCAUUAUUGAUGUGACUUCACUUCAUGUUUGAUCUGAGUCGAUCACUACCUUUCUUCACAUAUCCAUUGUUUCGCUGUCGUUUUUAUCGUUGCUUGUGAUUCAUCUCAUUCCCUUCACAUCUUAUUUUCCCCUUACAGUGACCCAUCUCGGGUUCGAUACUUCGCAUCAUCAUUACACAUAUCACUACCAGUUCAUUUUGCUUCAUUUGUCUCCUUGUCGAUAUCAUAUUCACGUUAGGCAUUCUCAGGUCCAUGGCUCAUGGGGUUCACUAUACAUGUUGCAUUUCAUAUAUGAGGGCAUGAGUUUUGAUCAUUGGGUAUUUGAGCCUAGUUUCCUUUCAUUUCUAUCACCCUAUCACCUUGGCCUACGUUACGUCCCGCGUCUUAAGACCACCCUGAGGCCAUGGGAUCAGAUGUCGUAUUCGGCAGCCUCUACUUGGACAGUGAUUGAGAUCUGGUUGAUAUUUAGAUAUUGUCAUGCUUCUUCUUCUGGGAGUCGCCUCUUUGAUGUGUAGGUUUGAUUCAGUUGUGUUCGGAUUACCAGGAUCGUGAGUUUGAUGAUGAUUGAUUUGGUGUCACCUGAUUUUUGACCUAUCAUACCUCUGGUACCACACUGGGGCAUAUCCCAUUUCAUUUAGAGGUUCAUGGAUCCUCACGGACUUGCGCGAUCAUCACUUACUGGAUGCUCAUCGAGACGUGGACAUGAUUGUUUACCUUACGGAGCCUCUGAGAUCCACCCAGCCGGGUCCGCACUUCUCGACACUUGGAUUCCAUCAUACCUCUCCACCUGGGAGGUACAUUUUGGAUAUGUGUGCAUGAUUCAGUUAUGGAUUCGGACGACCAUUGUUACAUGUUCGAUGACAGAUGAUUUCGUGUCGCUCGAUUUCUGACCUGUCGUGCAUCCGAUGCCCAUACUGGGGCAUAUUUUCCGUUUCGGAUGAGAUUUACGGACUUUCAUGGAGGUCACAUGUGCGAUGAUGGAUGAUUUCAUGACAUUUGUUCUUCGGACCUGUCGCGCACCUGAUGCCAUACGGGGGCAUAUUCCGUUUCAGAGGAUCUUUAUGGAUCUUUGCAGAGGUCACAUGUUCGAGGAUAGAUGAUUCCAUGCUAUCUGAUCUCCGACUUAUCAUACAUUUCGAUGUCAUAUAGGAGCAUAUUUCGGUUCGGAUGAGAUUUACAGAUCAUGAGGGAGUCGCGUGCUUAGCCUUAUUUGGCAAGACGUAUGCAGAGAUGAUGAUAUAUUUGCUAUCCUCACGAUGAUUCCUUAGUGGAGCCUAUCGAGAGCCGUCUAGCCAGGCAUGGAUGACCUGAGCUCAUCGGAUUUUUCGACGUAUUGCAUUCUCGAUGCCACAUUAGGGCACAUUCCCCAUUUUGAUCGAGAUUUAUAGAUCCCCACUGGUUUACAUGAUCAUCCACGGUUAUGAGAUACAUGCCAGGUCGAUGUUUGAUAUCAUUUUGUCUGGCUACUCCGAGGAGCCUCUUUUGAGUCAUUCAGCCAGAUUCAUACCCUUUGAUAUAGUCGUAUGGAGUUGUCUCUGGUGCCUGGAUUUCCCGCGUCAUCAUUUCAGAGGGAUACGAUCUGUUACGCGUCCCAUUGGUGUUAUUCUCGGGUCAUCAGGGCAGAUCGGGUACAUCGGGUGUCAUACUGGGACAUAUUUCUGUUUUGGAUGAGAUUUACGGAUCUUCACGGAGGUCACGUGCUCGACGAUAGAUGAUUUCUUGUCGCUUUUCUUCUGACCCGUCCCACAUUUGAUGCCAUACUAGGGCAUAUUUUCCGUUUCGGAUGAGAUUUAUGGAUCUUCACUUAUGUCACAUGAUCGAGGAUAGACGAUUUCAUGCCACCCGAUCUUCGACCUAUCAUACAUUUGAUGUCAUACUGGGGCAUAUUUCCGUUUCGAUUGAGAUUUACGGAUCUUCAUGGAGUUGCAUGCUCAUCCCCACUUACGAGAUACACGUUGACACGAUGUUUCCUCCGUGGAGCCUCUCAGGAGUUACCCAGUUAGGGCUGCGCUUCGCGACGCCUCGAUGUCAUCAUGUUUUCCUUCCGGGGGACGCCCUUUUGAUCUAUGGGUCUGAUUCAGUUGUGCACGUGGAUGAUUUGGAUCGCGCAUUCGAUGACGGGUGAUCUGAGCUCAUCUGGUUCUUCUGACCUAUCACACAUCCGAUGUCAUACUGGGGCAUACCCCCAUCCUUGAGUCCACCAGGUAUUUUGCGAUUUUCUCAUCACUUGAUCCACAUCUGGAUCUUUGCGGGUCGUCAUGCUGGGGCAUCCCCCCGCUGUCAUUUCGUUUGGGGCAUCUCCCCCACUGUCAUUUACGUUUGGGGCAUCCCCCGCUGUCAUUUUCGUUUGGGGCAUCCCCCACUGUCAUUUUCGUUUGGGGCAUCCCCCCACUGUCAUUUACGUUUGGGGCAUCCUCCCAUUGUCAUUUCGUUAGGGGCAUCCCCCCGCUGUCUUUACGUUUGGGGCAUCUCCCCACUGUUAUUUAUGUUUGGGGCAUCCCCCCACUGUCAUUUACGUUUGGGGCAUCCCCCCAUUGUCAUUUCGUUUGGGCCAUCCCCCCACUGUCAUUUUGUUUAGGGCAUUUCCCCACUGUUAUUUACGUUUAAGGCAUCCCCCUAUCUUCAGUUUGUUUAGGGCAUUCCCCUACCGUCAGUUCGCUUAGGGCAUCUCCCUUUGUUUCAGAUUUAUCACCACCGUAGGUCUUCACCUAUGGGCCUUAUAGUUUAGUGUUUAGAGUUAGCUUUUUGGUUUGACUUUCAUAGCUAUCAUUUUUCUCAGUUUAGCAUUUAGAGUUAGCUUUUUGGUUUGGCUUCUAGAGCCAUUAUUCUUCUAGUUUAGUGUUUAGAGUUAGCUUUUUGAUUUGGCUUCUAGAGCUAUUAUUUUCUCAGUAUCAGUGGUCAGAGCCAUCCUCGUCGCUUUUUUUAGCUUCGGCGUUUAGAGCCAUCACUUCUCAGUAUCGACAUUCAGAGCCCAUACUGGGGGAUAUUUUCUGUUUGGGAUGAGAUUUACGGACUUUCAUGGAGGUCACAUGUGCGACGAUGGAUGAUUUCAUGACAUUUGUUCUUCGGACUUGUCGCGCACCUGAUGCCAUACUGGGGCAUAUUCCGUUUUGGAGGAUCUUUAUGGAUCUUCACAGAGGUCACAUGUUCGAGAAUAGAUGAUUCCAUGCUAUUUGAUCUCCAACCUAUCAUACAUUUCGAUGUCAUAUAGGAGCAUAUUUCGGUUCGGAUGAGAUUUACAGAUCGUGAGGGAAUCGCGUGCUUAUCCUUAUUUGGCGAGAUGUAUGCAGAGAUGAUGAUAUAUUCGCUAUCCUCACGAUGAUUCCUUAGUGGAGCCUAUCGAGAGCCAUCUAGCCAGGCAUGGAUGACUUGAGCUCAUCUGAUUUUUCUUGGUGCCACACUGGGGCAUAUUCCCCAUCUUGAUCGACAUUUGUAGAUUCCCCACUGAUUUGCAUGACCACCCUCAGUUAUGAGAUACACGUCAGGUUGAUGAUUCGAUUCCAUUUUAUCCUGAUACUCCGAGGAGCCUCUUUUGAGUCUUUCAGCCAGAUCUUACUCUCUGAUACAGUCGCAGUUCUUGGACGGAGUUAUGUCGAGUGCUUGGAUCCCCACGUCACCAUCUCAGUGGGGGUACAUAUCAGAUCUUUUACGCAUCCCCAUGUUAUUCUCGGGUUAUCAGGACGGAUCGGGUACAUCUGAUGCCAUACUAGGGCAUAUUUCCCUCCUUUAGCCAUGGAGGCGAUCGUUCUCUCACAGACCCGUUAUAGCUUUUGUCACUCAGCCAAGAGAUAUUGUGUUCGCCUCAUUGACCAUUAUUCCUGAGCUCUUCAUCGAGAUAAGCUCUCAGUGGAGCGUUGAUCGAGACUCAUAGAGUCCCUUUCAGCCAUCUUUAGCGGUUUGAGAUUCGCAGCGGCAUGCCACACUGGGGCAUAUUUCCCUCUCAUUGUCUCCUUACGGUCUGGUGUUCAGGGUCGCCGUUCAUUCACGGUUUACGACAUUCAAAGUUAUCAUGUCACACUUUCAGUUCGGCGUUCAGAGCCACUUCUCUAGUUCUUGCCGUUCAGAGUCAUCAUCAUCUCUUUUUAGUUUCGACGUUCCGAGCCAUCAUCGCCUCUUUUCAGUUCGGCUUUUAGAGCCAUCAUUGGUUUUCAGAUCGACAUUCAGAGUCGCAUCCUCAGUUUCGGCGUUCAGAGCCAUCACCGUGUUUUCAGUUCGGCGUUCAGAGCCAUCAUCGGUUUUCAGAUCGACAUUCAGGGUCGCAUCCUCGGUUUCGACGUUCAGAGUCGUUAUCACUUCUCAGUUUGACGUUCAGGGUCAUCGUCAUUACUUUUUAGUUUCGGCGUUCAGAGCCAUCAUCGGUUUUCAGAUCGACAUUCAGAGUCGCAUCCUCAGUUUCGACGUUCCAAGCCAUCAUCACAUCUUCGUUGGCGUUCAGAGCCAUCAUCGCUUCUCAGUUUUGGCAUUCAUAGCCAUCACUGUUUUCGAUUUAGGCUUCCAGAGCCAUUACUGUCAUCUUGUUUAGGCUUUCAGAGCCAUUACUGUCAUCUUGUUUAGGCUUCCGGAGCCAUUAUCGUCAUCUUGUUUAGGCUUCCAGAGCCAUCACCGUCAUCUUGCUUAGGCUUCCAGAGCCAUUAUCGUCAUCUUGCUUAGGCUUCCAGAGUCAUCACUGUCAUCUUAUUUAGGCUUCCAGAGCCAUUUCUAUCAUUUUGUUUAGGUUUCCAGAGCCAUCACCAUCAUCUUGUUUAGGCUUCCAGAGCCACUACUGUCAUCUUGCUUAGGCCUUCAGAGCCAUUACCGUCGUCUUAUUUCGGCUUCCAGAGCCAUCACUAUCAUCUCAUUUAGGCUUCCAGAGCCAUCACUAUCAUCUCAUUUAGGCUUCCAGAGCCGUCACUAUCGUCUCGUUUAGGCUUCCAAAGUCAUCACUGUCAUCUUGUUUAGGCUUCCAGAGCCAUUUCUAUCAUCUUGUUUAGGUUUCCAGAGCCAUUACCAUCAUCUUGUUUAGGCUUCCAGAGCCACUACUGUCAUCUUGCUUAGGCUUUCAGAGCCAUCACUAUCAUCUCAUUUAGGCUUCCAGAGCCAUCACUAUCAUCUCAUUUAGGCAUCCAGAGCCAUCACUAUUGUCUCGUUUAGGCUUCCAAAGCCAUCAUUGUCGUCUUGUUUAGGCUUCCAGAGCUGUUAUUUUCUAGUUUAGCUUUUAGAGUCAGUUUUUUGUUUGGUUUCCAGAGCUUUUACUUUCUUGGUUUAGUGAUUAGAGUUAGCUUUUCGGUUUGGCUUCCAGAGCUUUUAUUUUCUCAGUUUAGUGCCUAGAGUCGGUCUUGUCAUCCAGAGUCACAACUCCUGGCAUUCAUGUCCACUGGCAUUGCACAUCUUACCUUCAGGGUUUUGCAUUCGUCCUCGACUUUCCUCACUUCGUUACCCGGUGCUUAUCCCAUAUUCAUCUCGUACUCCAGGGUGGUUCGACCGUUACUCAUCUUUGACAUUGAUCUCUUGAGUCACCUGUAGAGAUGUCUUAGAGGGAGUCUGGGUCCUCGAUGCAGCUUUCGAGGCGCCUUGAGCCUCUCUUAGAAUUUUAGAGCCUCGAGUGAGUUUGUGUUCUACUUGUACCUUUCGGGUUCGGGGGUCUUUCUUUGUUCUUCGAUAGAGUUCACUUCAUUUCAGUCACUUUUCACACUUCUUUUUCACUCUAGUGUUCACAUUCCUUACACUCGUGAACUCUAUCAAAGAGGGGCAUAUUUGUAGACCCCCCCGGAGGCAGAGUUUUUUUUCUUGGGAUUUAUUUUAGGUCUUUUCUUUUUCCUACCUUUUUCUGAGGAGCCGCUCGCCAUGAUGGUCAGGAGCUGGUUUUUGGGGCAGAGAGGGGACUCAAGUGGGCGGCUCUCGGGGGGCAGAUUGGACGGGAUACGGCUGGCUUGCUGAGGAAGACACGAACAGAAGAAAAACAGAUGAAAAAAAGUAGAAAAAUAGAGAUCAAGAGGUACGGGGAUGCAGCAGACUGGGGGAGAGGCUUUUCUUCAGCCAGACAUCGAGAUCAGUGGGGGGGCCGGAGGAGGAGACGAGAGGAGCUUUCUUUGGGUAGGGGGAUGGAGAGAUAUUUUCUGGGAUAUUCACCGAGGGGCUCUGGAUCUUGCUGGUAGAGUAGACAGAGGUUGGCGGUAAUCUAAGUGAGCUUCAUUGAAGAGGAGAUN
rnacentral:lncRNA from 1 species